GACGAACGCUGGCGGCGUGCUUAACACAUGCAAGUCGAACGGAAAGGCCCUGCUUUUGCGGGGUGCUCGAGUGGCGAACGGGUGAGUAACACGUGAGUAACCUGCCCUUGACUUUGGGAUAACUUCAGGAAACUGGGGCUAAUACCGGAUAGGAGCUCCUGCUGCAUGGUGGGGGUUGGAAAGUUUCGGCGGUUGGGGAUGGACUCGCGGCUUAUCAGCUUGUUGGUGGGGUAGUGGCUUACCAAGGCUUUGACGGGUAGCCGGCCUGAGAGGGUGACCGGCCACAUUGGGACUGAGAUACGGCCCAGACGCCUACGGGAGGCAGAAGUGGGGAAUAUUGCACAGUGGGCGGGAGCCUGAUGCGGCAACGCCGCGUGCGGGAUGACGGCCUUCGGGUUGUAAACCGCUUUCGCCUGUGACGAAGCGUGGGUGACGGUAAUGGGUAAAGAAGCACCGGCUAACUACGUG
rnacentral:rRNA from 1 species